UCCGACUUCGGAAAACAGACUGACAACGUUUCUUUGAAGUAUAAAAUAUAAUUGUAUUUACUUUUACAUGACAUCAACAUUCUAGUGCCAUAUUAUUGUGCUGUUACUGGAUUACUUAAUGAAAGCUAAUAUCCUUCUUUGCUAGAUAUAAUUAUGUUAAAGAGUUUGGAUCGGCUUGCGCCAUGGCUGGACUUCCUGGAUAUCUUACAGUUACACAUAUUUAGUGACACGUAAUCUCUACUUAGAGAGUCCCCUUUGGAGAUACGAUAUGAAGCUGCAAUGGUUUUGAGUGCCGUUGGUGAUUCAUUAGGGUAUAGAAACGGGAAAUGGCUUAAAUGUACAAAAGGAUCUCAUAUUUAUAAAGAACUUACAGAACUUGGGAGAGUAAAUAGUAUAAAUAUCAAACCUCCGGAGUGGAGACUUAGUUACUGCACCUUGCUUCAUAGACACACUGCACAUGCACUUACUGUAGUCAUGUAUAAAACAGCAAAUGACUUCGCAUACUGGCGUUUAGCGAAAUAUUACAAGAGUAAUAUAUAUGAUAUUGAUAUACGCCAUCCUGACGAAACGUUCGUUGCUUCACGAGAACUUCUAAAUCCUGACAUUGACACAGAAUGCAUUGUUCCUUUCAACGACGAUAGUGUGAGUUCUGCAGCUGCUGUAAGGGCAAUGUGCAUAGGUUUGCGACAUCCUAAUGACUGGGACGUAAACAAUUUGAUAAAAAUCAGCAUAGAGAGUGGUCGAAUGACACAUCAUCAUCCAGUUGGUUACCUAGGUUCUCUAGUCACUGCAUUAUUUACGUCAUACGCUAUCUAGAAGAUUCAAGUUCGGCAGUGGGGAAGCAAAGUGAUGAAAAUUUUUCCUAUAGCGUUAGAAUAUGUCAAAGAAAAAGGCAUUGCUGUAGAUGAAAACGUUAGGACUUGGGACGAAUUCAUAGAAAAAUGGAAAACCUAUUUAAAACUUAGAGGAAUUGAGACCGGCACUGCUGAUCCAAUCUUUCCUGACGGUUAUAACAUGAACAUGAGUGAAAAAUGUUAUAAAUCAAUUUCCACCAAUUAUCGACCUGGCAGAAGUGAUUGUGAAGCAACUUUAAUCGCAUAUGACGCAUUUCUUGCUUCUAAUGGAUCUUGGGAAAACUUGUGUGUCAGGUCAAUAUGCCAUGGAGGAUUGAGCAACGUUACUUGCGCGAUUGCUGCUUGCUGAUACGGAGCUAUGUAUGGAUACGUUGAGGUCAACAAGUGUAAUUACAUAACAGUUGAACUAAUGAAACAAAUAGCUGGACUUGGAAACCGGAUGAGUCAUAAGUGAACUUUCCGUCGCGUCAAAAGAUUCUACAUACCUAUACGUUCGGGAAGGGGAAAAUUUGAAUAGUUUGAUAGAUAAGGCAGGCUCUGAAAUACGCAAAGAUAUAAUAACAGAUGAAGCUGUUAGCAUUGCGGAAGCCAUUUACACACAUAUCCGGCAUUUUCUUGAUAACCUUGGAGACAAAUACCCCGAUUACAAGGUGUCAGAGCUUUUGAAAGUUUGAAGUUUUCACGAGGGCACUAAGAUCUGCUUUGCAGACGAAUUUGAUUACAUUGCAGUGCUAUCAGAAUUCUCAAAACCUGAUGUCGUUACCAUUGAAAGUAGUUUAAAUGAAAGAGAUGACGUGGAUCUUAAUUUUGGGCCCAAAAAGGCUGAAAUAUCAUAUGCACUUAUGGAACAGUUUUGUUCAAGAUUUUACAAUGUGGCGUUGACGGACAGGAGAGCUACCACAAGCAUUGGCCUUUACGACCAUCAAGAUAGGGCUGAGUGGAUGAUUUACCACCAGUAAAUAACAUAGAGCUGUCUGUACGAUUCUGUGAGGCAAGACUACCAAAUAUGGUUUGGGAGUUCCUCUACAAGGGCCGCAGAAUUUCUGUCGACAUUACUAUAGCCAUCAGGUAUAGUAAUGUAGAGGAACUUUACCAUCCAGAGUUUGCAACUAUACCAGAAGUUGGAAAAGCUGUUAUUGAAAGGGGUUCGCUUUUAAUUGUUGCUUAUAGGGAAGGCUUCAGGAAAACCUUUACUGAGACGGAAGUACAGUAUAUCCGCAUAAAAUUGGGUGAAAACCACAAAACUUUGUAUAUGUUUCUGAAACAUUUAAAAUACAAAUACGGGGAACAUCCUUUCUUACAGUUAAAUGGAUACAAACCAUUUUCGUCCUACAUGCUAAAAAUGGUUUGUAUCUAUCACGAGCAAAACUUUAAGGCUGAAACUGCUGAACACGAGUCAUGCCUCCAUGGUAUCGCACAAAUCAUAGACGACAGCAUUAACAGCGGAUAUCUUCACGAAGGAGAGAUUUUCAACGAAACCGCUAUUGGGUGUCUUCCAAGUAUAUUCAACAACUCCAGGAAUUUGUACAAAGACAUGUUCAAACCGGUGGAUCGUCUGAAAGCACUUCGGAAAGUAAUGAUACGCGAUAUACGAGAAAUAUUUCUUUCUGGGAGAAAAUGGUUGAGCCUUCAUCAUUUGUUGAAAGAAACAAAUGAUGCUAUUGCAGCGUCACCAGAAGAGGUGUGCAGAAAAGAUUGGUCGGUCUCACAUGGCCUUAUUAUGAUGAAAGUGAAAUGAGAUCAUAAAUUAUGAUCAACAGAAACAUUGUUCUACCUUUCUGCAGUAUUUUCUGGUAAUAUUUUUAAACAAGAGAUAAGUAGUUUAGUCUUUGAAAUAUCAUCAUUAAUAUUCAACAUCACACAAUAGUGCAAUAUGAAUUAAUGCAUUUUAAAACGUAUUUUGAUCCCCUGCCUGACCAUGUCAAGCCGCAAGAGUGAAUAUUUCCACAUGAACAAGUUUGAUUGCACUGUAGUAAAUUAGCUUAUUGUAUUAAUGUUGAUCAGAACUUUAAGAUGUGAUGCAUUAUUAUACAUUUUGCAAAAUAGCUACAUUUUGACAAUGUGUUUUAUACAAGAUUUCUUUAGCAUUCCUUACUUUAUAAACUUUAGCAUAUUUCGUCUUGUUUUAGCUGGCAGUACACAAGUAACUUGUAGUAAUAUGUCACUACUUAGAUAAAGAUUAGGACUACUGAAAAAAAAGAUUAAUUUAUUGCUCAUGCCGGUGUCUCUUUUCAAAAGAUGCAUUAGAGUUGUCAUUAUCUAACAUAAACUUCUACUGCGCGUUUUGUGUUAUAAAAAGUCACCUCUUAAAAAUAACGACCAUUUUGAUGUGAAAAAAGAGGAAAUUAGGUUAACAAAUACAUACUUGGGCUUUGUCGAAAUUUGUACUUUUUUGUAGACGGUUGUAACAGAAUUUUAACAGUAAUCUAAUGUUCUAUUUAUUAUACCUGCUAUGUAGAAUCAUUUUAAUCAAACUGAACAACUUCUAGACUGUAAAACAUAAUUAACUAUGCUGCCAAGUUACUUUUUAUCUGAAGUUCAUUUGCAAGUCGGAAACCAAUACUUACCAAGCAAACGUUAGGAAUGGGUUAAAUUUAUAUAGGCCAUAAAGCCGCUUGCUUCAGAAAAAAUAAAAAGUCCGUUUCCUCGACGACUUUAUUUUUCCAGACGCAAAAUUCCAUGUACAGAAGGCUGAAAUCCUGCACGAACGCUGCGGAUUAAUCAACUUCCGUUUCCCUGAGCGAUUCCGUUGUACCAUUUUCUUGUUGUAAUUGCAAAUACAUACGUUACGGUCUCAUAAUCCUGAUAAAAACUCAUUCAUAAAAAUCGUUACAAAAUAUAUCAUUAGUAGUGGUUUUCAAAAAUAAGAUGUUUUUGUUUCUUUUUUUUAAUGAGAUUGAAACAUGACGUCGGUCCAAAUUUUAGUUCAUCACUGACGUAAUAAAGCAACAUUUAUAAUACUAUUA